GCACCUCCCCUCAUUGGUCCAGUCGGGUUGUUUUAUAACCACACCUUCAGAUUGUAACGCUACUAAAGUUCUGUCUGGGCAGGCCAAUCAUAUUUCCUAAUCAUCAAACAAAGUAAACUGACAGACAUAUUCUAAAUAGUAUGAAUCGACAUUUUUUAAAAUGUCAUUCUGUACUAAUUACUGGGGCGUGCAGAGGCCUCGGUCUACAAACGGUGAAAGACCUGGCGAGAAGCAUAGAGCGACCAACCACAAUAAGUGACUGCGCGCAAACCACCCGCAGCACAGAUGUUGUCAGCCAGUCAUGUAUAGACUCAGCAUUUCACGAGGUGUCAUCCAUACUGGGAGGUGAUGGGCUCAACUGCCUCAUAAACAACACAGCUGAUCUGAAGACAGUGACACCUGACGACUUUUGAGAGUAAUACUGUUUCUACUCUUUUUGCCACCAAGGCAUUUCUGCCAUUGCUCCAGGCAGCUGCUGCACGGACCACUGUAAUGGGGAUCAAUAGGGCAGCUGUGAUAAACAUCUCUUCCAUACUGGGCUCCAUUAAGGCCAAUUGGGGAGACGGAGCAGCCUUCAAAAGCUAUGCUUACAGGACCUCAAAGGCUGCCUUGAACAUGGCGACAAGUUGUCUGGCCAUUGACUAGGAAUCUGAAGGGAUUCUGUGUAUAGCCCUUCACCCUGGCUGGGUGCGCACUGACGUAGGUGGCCCAUAUGUGGAUUUGAGUGCGGAGGAUCAUCUUUGCUGUCUCUGACAGAAAAGCAUCAUGGGGGAUUCUUCAACAACUCUGGAAACAAGCUACCAUGGUGAAGCUCAACUUUGAAACAGUAACUUGUGUAAUGUGCAGUUGUACUGCCGAAAAUUCACUAGGACAAAACACUGAGCAGAGAUCAUAGAAUACAACGCACAAUUGCAACAUCAUGCUGUUAGGUUGCUCUGCAAUCUCUGAUUUCUUUGUAUUUAGUUGGCGUGAGAGAGAAGCUGGAGACUUGACAUUUUAUAUUUGGGAUAAAAUAAAAAAAAUCUGAGUUGUUUGGGUUGUUGCACUUUCUAAGGUAAUCUCACUGUUUGCAUAGAACAACUAUAUACUGUAUAAUCAAUAUAUAGGAACAAAAAAGUCUUGCCA